UGCAGAAUCCCGUGAACCAUCGAGUCUUUGAACGCAAGUUGCGCCCGAGGGACCCUCCCGAGGGCACGCCUGCCUCAUGGGCGUUAGAAGCCCAUCCACGCUCUGUUGCCUAACUAACGGCAAAGAUGCGGACAUUGGCCCUCCGAGCCGCGAGGCGCGGUGGGCCUAAGUGUGCGGCCGUCGUACGUGGCCGGGAGCGGCGAGUGGUGGGCUACUGCGCACGUCACCCCGAGCCCCGUACCGACGAAGGGCCUUGUACGACCCCCUAACGAGGAGCACGCUGUCGCGGCUUGCGCUGCGCGGCGCCUUCGGACCGAUACCCCAGGUCAGGCGGGGCUACCCGCCGAGUUUAAGCAUAUAAAUAAGCGGAGGAGAAGAAACUUACAAGGAUUCCCCUAGUAACGGCGAGCGAACCGGGAGAUGCCCAGCCUUAGAAUCGCGGCGGCACUGCCGUCCGA
rnacentral:rRNA from 1 species